AAUUGGUUCGUCGUCAUCCUCCACCUCGUGCUCAUGUGGUUACUCUGAUAUUUUGAAUUUCGAUUUCGCAGGGUUAAGCAGAAGCUGGAACCAACCACAGGGACUCAGGGUUCAAGCAAUGAGUGCCACAGCUCAACGUAAUUUUUCGCUAUCCAAAGGCGACAAUGAUGACAAAAUUGAACCUGAUCAUCUUCUUGUUCUUGUUCACGGUAUUUUGGCCAGUCCCAGUGACUGGCUCUACGUAGAAGCUGAGAUGAAAAG